GAAGUUAAGCAUACCUCCUUGAGAAUUCCUGAUCUCAUUUGGUCACAGUAGCUAAGCAGGGUUGGGCCUGGUUAGUAUUUGGAUGGGAGACCACUGGACCAAUGAGAAUACCAAGUACUACA
rnacentral:rRNA from 1 species